ACAUUAUCACGGGGUCCGUCGAGAACACGGACUGGGAACCCUGUGAUCGGGCAGGCGGACUUUAUUCAUUGGGGGACAGUGAUGCAUGCUGGGAAAGGAUUACCGGAAGUUACCAGCCGUAGUAACAUUAGGACGGGACUGUUACUCUAUGUAUCCUUAAUCCGGACGGGAUGGGAUGUAUACAUAUGGAAACCAUUGUGGAUCGGAUCAUCAGUGAUUUCAGGACGGAGAUUGAAUGUUACCUAUUAAUGUUUAUAUUGAUUUUAUUUGUUCAAUUUGUUUUAAAUCUCUUAUAUCUUGUUAAAUACAAUGUAUAUCCAUUUAUGGGAAUCCAGUAAUAUAUAAAUGGAAUAUCAAGAUUAGGUUUUUGAUGCAUAUUAGUGCUGUGACUGUCUGAUUGGCUUAGGAAAUGAUAGGAAGUGCUCAGUGGGGUUUAAAAGGCCGACUGGGUUAAUCCUGCAAUAUGCCCUGAGGAAGGAUUUUUAUCCGAAACGCGUUGGUACCAGUUUCUUUUAGCCCCCGGUGGUAAGGUUUUUUCUCUACAUCUAUCCCCUUUUUUACUAAGGACCGAAGUUUGGAGCAUAUUCCAUAUUUCAUUUUUUCUUGGUAGUAACUGUUCCCAUCGGUUUCCUAGGGGAUUAUAGGAGGAUCAACCCAGGCUGCCUAUUUGGGGUAUUUUUAUGUUGUUUUUAUAUUGUAUGUCAAUUUUUGGAAUAAAUCUUUGAUACCCUUUUUUGGACUCACGACAUUUGCUUAUUGGAAUGGAGUGCCAUGAUUAAGGACGUGACCAACAUAUAGUGGACGCCCGGUGAAGGAGACAGUCAAAGAAAACUAUUACGGAACAUAGGGCUAUGCCCCAAGAUGAAUGGCUUCCUGUUCUCUGCAAUUGUAGCCCAGCACCAAACAGGGGAAAGUCAACACUGGCCCCCAUUGACUAUUGCUGUCAUGGGAGAGCCUGGGGAGCUUCCUCUCAGCGGAGCUGUGGAGAAAAAAUGGCGCAGGUGAGUG